UACGGAGGGUGCAAGCGUUGCUCGGAAUUAUUGGGCGUAAAGGGUAGGUAGGUGGUCUCAUUUGUCUGGGGUGAAAGCCUUGAGCUUAACUCAAGAAGUGCCCCAGAAACGGUGAGACUAGAGUCUUGGAGAGGGUCGUGGAAUUCCCGGUGUAGCGGUGAAAUGCGUAGAGAUCGGGAGGAACACCAGAGGCGAAGGCGGCGACCUGGACCAAUUCUGACGCUGAGGAGCGAAAGCCAGGGGAGCAAACGGG
rnacentral:rRNA from 1 species